rnacentral:lncRNA from 1 species
GUAAAUAAGAGGGGAUUAUAGACAGAAAAAAUAUUUAUUUGUCUUCAUUUUCCGGUGAUUGGGUCAUUCCAAAACAAUGGCGUUCUCUGCAACUUUUCGGUGUUCAUCUUCUCUAUGUCAUCCUCUGAAUAAUUCAACAAUUUCACGAGCUUUGCCUCAGUCGUCUUCUUCACUCUCCUUUCGAUCUUCGCCUUCACUUUUUAACCGCAAAAAGUCUUUGUCUAUUCGAUCUGCUAUACUUGAAGGUAUUCUUUUACAUACUUGAGUUUUGGAUUAAUAGCUUAAUAUAACUUUUUUUGUGAAGUAGGCUGUUUAUUUGAGUUUAGUAAAGUAUAGUCUUAUUUUAAGUUCGGAUAAAGGAGGAGAUUUGUGGUAUGUUGAUGGUUAGAUUAAACUUAUUGAAUGAAUUGUGAGUUCGAGUCUCCCUAGAGCAAGGUGGGAAGUUCUUGGAGGGAAGGAUGCCGGGGUCUAUUUUGAAACAGCCUCUCUAGCCAAGGGUAGGGGUAAGGUCUGCGUACACACUACCCUCCCCAGUCCCCAGACCCCACUAAGUGAGAUUAUACUGUUGUUGUUGUUGUUUUUGUUGUUAUUGAAUGAUAAGAAAUGGCUGGUAAGGAUUGUUGCAUCAAAACCAUCAUAAAUGAGGUGAAGGCUUGUAUCUAUCUAGUUAUCUCUUCUGUGCUUAGUAAGUCAUGGAUGACAAUACUGGCUUUUGUACCUUUUAUCCAUUAAAAGAAGAUUAUGUGGUGCUAUUCAGAGCAGUCUAUGUUUUCUUCUGUUGCUUCUGUAACUUGAACACCAGGGGAAAGGAACAAUCUAAUAAUAACAUCUAAAAUUUGGCAGUAGAGCCUGAAAAGGAGCUAUCUCAUUUGUCAAAUGGUCUUGGAAUAAAGAGCUGCAGCCUCAAUUGACAG